GUGCCAGCAGCCGCGGUAAUACGGAGGAUGCAAGCGUUAUCCGGAAUUAUUGGGCGUAAAGCGUCCGCAGGCGGCUAGAUAAGUCUGCUUUCAAAGAGUGGGGCUCAACCCCAUAGGGGGAGUGGAAACUGUUUAGCUAGAGUAUGGUAGGGGCAGAGGGAAUUCCCAGUGUAGCGGUGAAAUGCGUAGAUAUUGGGAAGAACACCAGUGGCGAAGGCGCUCUGCUGGACCGAGACUGACGCUGAGGGACGAAAGCUAGGGGAGCGAAAGGGAUUAGAUACCCCUGUAGUCCUAGCUGUAAACGAUGGACACUAGGUGUUGCGCGUAUCGACCCGUGCAGUGCCGUAGCUAACGCGUUAAGUGUCCCGCCUGGGGAGUACGCACGCAAGUGUGAAACUCAAAGGAAUUGACGG
rnacentral:rRNA from 1 species